rnacentral:tRNA from 1 species
GGUAAUGUAGCUCAGUGGUAGAGCAUUUGCCUGGCAUGCAUGAGGUCUGGGUACCCAGUAGAACAA